GCUUAAUUUGGUGGACUCAUGUUAUAAAUCUGCUUUUACGUUCUUAAGUUAACCUAAACCUUUUACUCUUACAAAAGCAUGGUCUUACCUACGAAUUGCCUAUAUUUUAUUUAAGAAUGGUUCUCAGUAUUUUGUUUAUUCUUAACAUAUGUCUCCAUUCCAAUCAAUAGCCUCAGUGUACCUUUCCUAAUAGCAUAACUGGCAGGUUUUAUUGCAUAUAUGAAGGCCCCACUUAAACGGUUCCCACCCUGAAUUAUGUGUCCUCUAACCAGGCUAUACCCUACGUGACAUAUACCUGAUGGUUUGAUGGGUUCACCCAACCUAUGUGUACUGAGG